UGCUCCCCACCACCGGGAGGAGCGUGAGGUGGGGUGUGUGGUCACUCACUGUCCCCGGGAGUCGGUUGGGAGGGGAGGGGGAUACGCGGCACUCGCUGACACCGGGGGUGAGGGGAUCAUUCACUGUCCACGGGGGGGGAUGGGUUUGCAGGUCGCUGACUGUCCUGAGUGGGGGGCUUUGGGGGCUACUCUGUCCCGGUGUGGGGUAUGUGAGGGCAUGGGGGGUGGUGGUUGGAGUUGGAGGUCACAUGUUCACUAGGUGGGCACGAUCAACUGUGAUGCCCACACAGUUGAACAGCACGCACUGGCCUUGCUUUUACAAGUAAAAGGUGGAUAAUUGGUUGAGGUACCAGAGGGUGUUUUUUUUAUGGGAAAGAACCCUGGGGCCAAGCUCAUGUAGGACUAUAGCAAGAAAAGAUCGUGGGCAAGUGGGGAGGUGCCAAGUUGCUUUCACUGCCUGGUACAUUAAAAUAUUGAGAAACAGAAAUUGGCUGGUAGCUGAUCUCAAUUUCAAUCUCCUUUAACAACUCUAAACAUGAAGUGUUAUUCCUGGAAGACAGAGGUCAGGUUUUUUUUAACAGUGCAAGACUUCAUAAAGUGGUCAAUCAUUUCAAUUCAGUGUAUGAGUUGGAGGCAACUGGAGUUCCUGCCGACACUAACAGCGUGACCACCCUCAGCAGAAUGUACUCCAAAAUAUUUUUGAGUGAUACUUACAUAAUGAUAUAUUUCUACGAUUUAUCCCAUGUGUCUCUCUGUGGACACUCAAACCAUGAGGAGAUGUUGCCUUGAAAAUUGUAAGCAUUGCAGAGACAUCAAUACAAUGUUGAUAUUUUAGCAAUACCUAACUGAAGCUGGACAUAGGAUGGGUAUCUUGAGGAGCUGUCAAUCAUUCUGACAUUCAUCCAGAAAUGAUAACAACAUCACACCAAGGAAAGGAUGGAGUCGUUUGAAUUGUUUUAAAAGUCCAUUCAUCAUCCGUGGCUCAGGAAAGGAUUUCUGACCAAAUUGUUUCACCAACAUGGCCAAUAUAAGAAUGGCUUCCAUUCAGAUAACUGCCCAAUUUAUAUUGGAGCCUUUAAGUAAUGUGGCCACUAUUGACAACUGCAUCAUGGGAGCUUCUGUGAUUAUGAGCAUUGAUUGGAAAUUUUAUGUCCCCCAAAUGCUACCUGCAUCACAGCUUGCUUGUAUCAAUCUUCACCUAUAUCCUCCUACUGCCUCUAAGCCUUAGCUGCUUCUAUAUCAACCCCUGGGAAUUAAAAAGUCAGUUCACUUACAACAAUAUUUUCAAAAUCCCAAUUCCUUUGCCUUUGGUUAUCCAUUUUCUACAUCAUUUCUGCAACUGUUAAUUUGCUCAACCGCAAUCUUGUUUCUACCUUUGUUCCCUCAUCCUCAAUAAAACAAUUACCCUCUCUCACCUUGGGCUUUCCCACUAUUACAGCCUUCAACUCUGCUCCAAGAAGUCCAAGGAAGGUAGAUGCGAAAGGAUAUUGUGGACAACUUGUUUAUCAAUCUAUUGCUAGAUCUGGCAGGAGCACGUAGAACACAGGCCCUGAACAUGUAGGUAGCCUGUGAUUUAUUCUCUCUCUUUCAUACUGUCUUUAACCCCUGUCCCUUACCUUAAAUGAAAAAAUAGGGAAGGUGAUAGUGUAGUGAUAAAGUCACUGGACUAGUGAUCCAGAAUCCUAGUCUAAUGCUCCAACGGCACGGGUUCAAAUACCAUCAUGAAUUGAAUAAAUCGGAUUUGAUUUGAUUUAUUGUUGUCAUACGUACCUAGGUGCAGUGAAAAGUUUUGGUUUGCAUGCAGCACAAGUAGAUUAAACCAUACAAAUUGAAGCUUGUCUCAGUAACUGUGAUCAUGAAACUAUCAACAAUUUCUUAAAAAAAACAAAUCUGAUUCACUUCUGUCCCUUUGGGAGAGGAAAUCAGCUGUCCUCACCCAGUUUUUACAUGACGCCAGACCCACAGCAACAUAGGGACUCUUCACUGCCCUCUGAAAGGGCCGAGCAUGUACUCUAUUCAAGGACAACCGGAAUGAAUCCUGACCUUGCCAGCGAUGCCCAUGUCCUACACAAGAGGAAAAGAAAAAGUUUGAGACUUCUUGUCACUAACAUAGAGACAGCCUAAUCCUUUCCCCCAUCGUGUCUGUCCCUUCUUCUAGCCCACCAUACCAAAUUUCUUCUGAUGUUUUCCGUCGUAAUCUUACUUCUCUUUUGUUCUCUCCCAACAUCCCUGAUGUUGCUUCCAGUUUCAGCUUGCCCAUGAGAUGCAAUUCACACUAAAUUGCUCACUGCCUAAUGUUACUUCCUCAUCACCAUAUUGACUGAUAUUGUUAACGGUUCUGUCCAUCUCUUCACAUGUUGUUCCUUUUUAAAUCAGCCAUCAACACCCAUCUCCUUAAGGAUGGUGUGUCAAGGGUUGAUUUAUUGCAAACCACUGCCCCCCUUUAAAGUAACUGAAUACCUUGUCACCACCCAUAUCCAUUGCCCAUUUCUCCCAGAACUCCAUGUUUGAAUCCCUCCAAUCAGGGAUCAAAUCCACAGCAUUGGAACAACUCUAAUCAAAGCUACAAACUACAUCCUCUGUUACUGUGACAAAGUUAAACUAUCCCUCCUCAUCCUGUCUCUAGCCUUUGAUAUAGUUGACCACACCAUCCUCCUCCAAAAGAUUGGACAUCCAGCUAUGUGAGACUGCAUAUGAGCCCUAAGCUCUAGAAUGUGCUUCUUAACCCUAUGUGACUCUCCUCCUUAUUUGCCUCCAUUAUUAUGUUCCUUAAAGCAUAUUAGCUAUCCCUAAUCUAAGUGAUCCAACAACCAAUGGAUCAGAUCUAAUGUCUGAAGUCCUGCCACAUCCAGUCGUGAAUGCUAGUGGACAAUUAAACAACUCACUGCAGGAGGCGGCUCCACAAAUAUUCCCAUCCUUGAUGACAAAAGAGCCCAGCACAUCAGUGCAAAAAAUAAGGCUGAAGAAUUUGUAACAAUCUUCAGCCUGAAGUAACAACCAGAUGAUCCAUCUCUGCCUCCUCCAGAGGUCCUCAGCAUCACAGAUACCAGUCUUCAGCCAAUUUGAUUCACUCCACAUAUAUCAAGAAAGAUAUGAGGCAUCGGAUGCUGCAAAGGCUACAGGCCCUGACAACACUCCAGCAAUCGUACUGAAAACUUGUGCUCCAGAACUUGCUGCUCCCCUGGCCAAACUCUUCCAGUACAGCUACAACACUGGUAUCCAUGCAACAAUGUGGAAAGUUGCCCAGAUAUGUCCUGUACACAAAAAAAAGGACAAAUCCAACUCAGCCAAUUACAACCCUAUCUGUCUACUCUCGAUCAACACCAAAGUGAUGGAAUGUGUCAUCAACAGUGCUGUCAAGCAACCCCUGCUCAGUGACAACCUGCUCACUGAUGUCCAGUUUGGGUUCUGCCAGGGCCAAUCAGCCCCUGACCUCAUUACAGCCAUGUUCAAACAUGGAUAAAAGAACUGAAUUCCAGAGGUGAGGUGAGAAUAACAGCCUUUGAUAUCAAGGCUGCAUUUGAUCGAGUGUGGCAUCAAGGAGCUGAAAUAACUCUACAGAGGCUGUUAUCCAAGUCACCCUUUAUUUAUACGUGGAGAGUCCUUGAUACUGAUCCAGCUCUGAGCUAAUAGAAUGUCUGAUACUCCUGUACUUAUCUGUUAGCCAGAGCUCCCUAAUUGGACCAGGUUAACAACCCCAGUUAGGGAACUCAUAUUCUAUGAGGUCCAUUUGGCUGACCUCAUUACAAUCACUACAGGAGCCCUAGCAAAACUCGAAUCAAUGGGUAACAGGGGGCAAACUGGUUGGAGACAUACCUGGCACAUAGGAAGAUGCUUGUGGUUGUUGGAAGUCCGUCACCUCAGCUCCAGGACAUUGCUGCAGGAGUUCCUCACAGUAGUGUCCUAGGUCCAAUCAUCUUUAGCUGCUUCAUCAAUGACCUUGUGCUGCAAGGAUUGGUGCUGGGACCACUGUUAUUUGUCAUUUAUAUGAACAAUUUGAAUGAGAAUGGGGCGUGGUUACUAAGUUUGAGGAUGACGCCAGAAUUGGUGGUAUAAUGGACAGUGAAGAAGGUUAUCUAAGAGUACAAUGAGAUCUUGAUCAGCUGGCCCAUUGGGCCAAUGAGUGGCAGAUGGAGUUUAAUUUAGAUAAAUAUGAGGUGUUGUAUUGUGGUUAGAUAAACUAGGGCAGGAUUUACACAGUUAAUGGUUCGGCCCCAGGAAAUGUUGUCGAACAGAGAUACCUAGGGGUGCGGGUACAUAGUUCCUUGAAAGCAGCGUCAUAGGUAGACAGUGUGGUAAAGAAGGCGUUUGGCAUGCUUGCCUUUAUUGAUCAGAGCAUUGAGUACGGGAAUUGGGAUAUCAUGUUACAGCUGUACAAGACAUUGGUAAGGCCACAUUUUAAGUACUGUGUACAAUUCUGGUCACCUUGCUAUAGGAAGAAUGUUACUAAACUGGAAAGACUGCAAAAGAGAUUUACAAGGAUGUUAAGGAGACUGGAAGGUUUGAUGUAUAAGGAAAGGGUGGACAUGCUGGGACUUUAUUCAAUAGAGCAUAGGAGGCUGAGAGGUGAUCUUAUGGAAUCAUAGAGUCCCUACAGUGUGGAAGCAGGCCAUUCGGCCCAUCAAGUCUACACCAAUCCUACAAAGAGCAUCCCACCCAAACCCACCGCCCCACCCCCCAACCUAUCCCUGUAACGCUGCAUUUCCCAUGGCCAAUCCACCUGACCUGUACAUCUUUGGACUGUGGGAGGAAACCCACACAGACACAGGGAGAAUAUGCAAACUUCACAGACAGUUGCCUGACGGUGGAAUCGAACCUGGGUCCCUGGCACUGUGAGGCAGCAGUGCUAACCACUGAGCCACCAUGCCACCCAAAAGGUUUAUAAAAUCCUGAGGAGUAUAAAUAAAUAUAAAGUGAUUAGCCAAGGGUGGCAGAGUCCAAAAUUAGAGGUUUAAAAUGAGACGGGAAAGAUUUAAAAGGUUUCCCGUGGGAUAACUUUUACACAGAAGGUGGUUUGUAUGUGGAAUGAACUGCCAGAGGAAGUGUUAAAUGCAGGUACAGUUACAACAUUUAAAAGAGCUUUGGACAGGUACAUGAAUCGGAAAUGUUUAGAGGGAAAUGGGCCAACCCCAGGCAAGUGGGACUAGUUUAGGUUUGGAAGUUCGCUUAGCAUGGACAGGUUGGACUGUUUGCAUGCUGUAUGACUCUAUGACAAAGCGGCCCACUUGAUUGGCACCACAUCCACAAAGAUCAACUCCCUCCACCACCGACCUCAUUAGCAGCAGUGUGUACCAUCUACAAGAUGCACUGCAAAAAUUCACCCAAGAUCCUUAGACAGCACCUUCUAAACCCACUACAAGGGCAGAAUACAUAGGAACACCUCAAUCUACAAGUUCCCUCCAAGCCACUCACCAUCCUGAUUAGAAAAUAUAUUGCUGUUCCUUCAAGGAGGGUAGAAUCAAACUCCUAGAAUGUUAUCCUAAUAUCAUUGUGGGUGUACCUACAGCAAACGACCCAGAACUGUUCACAGUCUUCCAGUGGUUGCUUUGUCAUGGCCCAGAGGAUACUGGGCAUGAUGAUCAAUAACAAAGGAAAAAUAAUAAUGUGGAUGGGAAGUUUCCGCCUCUUUGGUCUAACUGAAUCUGGAGUUGAAUAAACAAUAAGAAAUUUCUUGCAUUGCUGUAAAUGAUAUACAGGUUACAGGAGUGUUGCUAUUGGAUCUGCGACUAAAAGCUUCCAAUGUCUCAUCACCACUUGUCUCUGACCGAUUCUGUCAGUGUGACUUCAUCACAUUGGAUGGUGCUACUCACACUCAGACCCAUAGAGAACAGAUGAGGUGGGAGAAUGUACACAGUCUCCAGCAGCAAAUAUACUAAAAUUGGAAUGAUACAGAGAUGAUUAGCAUGGCCCCUGCACAAGGAUGACAAACCUAUGUCAGGAGUACUGUGUACAGAUUUUAUCUCCUUAUUUAAGAAAGGAUAUAAAUGUGCUAAGUUUCCUGUGGUGCCGAAGUAGUGUCCGUACCUCUUGGCCAGGAGGCUUGGGUUCAAGUUCCACCUUCUCUAGAGGUGUGUCAUAAUACCUCUGAACAGGUUGAUUAGAAAAUGUAAAAUGUAAAUGUGUGAGGAGCAGUUUGUAGAAGGUUCAGUGCUACUUUGCCUGACCUGGAGUGCUGUUUUUACAGUGUAACUGGAGUUUAGUGAAACAGGGAGUUAGAUGAAAGAGGGGGGAGGUGAUCAGUCCCUCCUUUUCUCUCAUCAGUCAGUACUUUCUGCUCUUUAAUGUAAAAGUAAGAUAUUAGAAAUAAAUUUGGAGCAUAAAGGGGAAAGUGUGUCCUUAAGAAACUCUUACAGCACCGACUGUCAGAGGUUAGAGAGAGGGAGUGAAUCUGGCAAGGAGCAGCAGGAAAACUUUCAAAGGAGCUGCACGCUGUUAUCUUCACUCCGUCCAGGCACUGAGCUCCUGAGGUGAUGUCAGGAGUGACACUGGGCAAGUGGAAUCUGCUGAUUGGGUUGAGAUCUCUUUCCCUGAGCUGGGGGCUUGUGGCCAUUUGUGAACUAGCUGUGAGCAAGAACUGCUUGACCAGAUUGUCACCAUCAACAUUGAGAUCAGAUAAUGAAACGAAGAUAAGUCUGAAACUGAGGAGAAAAAUAAAUCAGCCAGACACCAGUCCCAGAGGAAAGGGAAGCCAUUUUAUUUGAUUAGUGAGAAUUAAUGUCCUCUCUGAUCAACGGAUUGGUGCAGAUGACAUCAAGUUACAUCACAGAAGAUCCAAUCAGAUGCUCUACCAUCAAUGACAUCAUCAGACAGUACAGAUAAUAAUCCAAUCAGAAGAUCAGCAUCAAACGUCACUAAAGGACAGCCCAUUAAAAGGCCUGCAGCCGCCUGGUAACAGUGAGAACCAACCAAGUGCAGAGCUCGGUGCUACUAGUCUAUCCAAUCGGGAAGGUACAAAGUGUUCCAGUUAUUCUGAAGCGGCAUGUUUUGAUGGUGAGUUCGCUCUGAAGGCCCAAGGGAUGAGAUAACCAGCAAAUAGGAAAAAAGCAACCUGCUCUCUGCUCGUGUGCCAGCUCUGGCAUUCAGUUGGACAAAAUAAAAAUGAAUUCCUGACACAGGAGAAACAAAUCCCAGCUUUUUUUCCCCCCUCAGACUUUGACUCUGGACAUAAUAGAACGUGACUGGGAAGGAUAUCGCUGAGCAUUGAGAGGUGGAGAAAUGUAGAGAAGCAAUUCUUUUUAAAACAAAAGCAAGUCUGUUUCACACGUAAUACAAAACAAGACCAACAACAAGACUCUUUUUAUAUAACACAGAAUAUGAACAAACUUCUUAGAGAGGAAAAAAAAACCCAUCUAUUCACAUUUCCAAAAGAAUAAAAUGUCCAUGUCUAAAGGAUAUUUAAAAAAAUAAAUUAGAAAUCAAUGGAGUUUAAUUAACACAGAGGUGAGAUUACUGUUAACCUCCAUGUAUGUGGAGGGACAUCACUCCAUAUAGUCACUACAUCAUUUACCAUUUACAAGUUAGACAUUUGCAUUGUGAUUAACAUCAAGCUACUUAGCUACUAAGUGCAAAAUCUUGGUGAGUGGAAUCGACUAAUCCUAUCUCCUCUCGAUUUGAAAACAGUCAACUGUUUGUUAGACGUAAUUUACAGCAUAUUUUUGAUCGCUAUGAACACUAUGUACGAGACUACAACAGGCAAGAGAAACUCCGAGGCAGCUUGCCUAUGAGAAAGAAUGCUUGCUUUGUGGAAUACCAUCCUUUGGUAGUUUCCCACCUCCCCCCCAUACAUAUGGGAAUGGUAAUGUAAUGGCUAAUGGACAUUGUAAUGUUAUAUUGGAGGACGAUCUACCAGAUAGCCUGGAUCAACAAUACAGAUGCACGUGAGCUCAAAUUCCAUUGUGACAGAGGUUGAAUUUUUUUUUAUAUAGAAAAGAGACGGUUUCCAUUAACUAUAUCAUGAAUUAUUCUAAAAGUCCAGUUGGGUCACUGAUGUCCAUUAGAGAAGGAAACCUGCUGUUUUUAACCAGUUUGGCCUCUACGUAACUCCAGUCCUACACCCAUCCGGUCAACUGCCUGAAGUGGCACAGCAAGCCACUUAGCCGUGUCAAGCUGUUUCUCAAGAGGUUGUGCUCCCACCACGUUGUUAGGGCAGAUCAUGUUGGGCAAGAAAUUUUGGCCACACCAGAAAUCCCUGAUUUGGACAAUGAAUUAAAAUAAAUGUGUUUUUCUUCCCUUGAGAGCUCAAAACAUCUCCUGUAAAUCGCUUCAUUAGACAGGCAGGACUCCGGUUGGUAAAAGCAAUGACUAGCGUGGAACCCAGGCCUUCUGAUCAAAACGAUCCCCCCCCAGAUACUCGCCAAGUCUGUGUGGUUUAGUUGAUUUCAUUUGGAGUGGUAUUUGGAACCCUUGGCUGCUGUGUCCAAGGCUUCUUGUGAGAACAUAAUAAAAGUCUAGAUUCAAAA